GGCUGGGGAAGACCGGCGGGGCGGCCGCAGUCUGCUCGCCCGGGCGACAGACGCUCCGAGAUGCCGAAGGGCCAGCAGCGGCCCCGAAGCUCCGGGCUGGCCGCGCUGUCGCUCUGCCGCGCCCCGGUCUCGAAGUGAAGGUGCCUCUUCCUGGCUAGCCCACCUACAUGCUGUCAUCACUGGGCUUCUGCAACUCUCAGUCUUUGUGGCUGCACCCUUCCCUUCUGAAUCCUGAGGACCCAUGAGUGUCAGGCCCAUCAUGAAAUUGGUCGUCUUACUGGGGGCCUGGAAGUCAGUCUCCCACUAGCAGCCUUUGGAUGAAGACAUAGAACUCUCAGCUCUGCCUUCACCAUGCCUGCCUGCAUGCUGCCAUGUUCCCACCUUGAUGAUAAUGGACUGAACCUCUGAAACUGUCUUUCCCCUGCAGCUUUCCCGAGGCUGUACAGCAUUUAUUGGUGCUCAUCUGUUUGAGUAGAGCUGGCAUAGAGGACUGCCACCGGCUGGGAGGGGCCAUGGUACCAGAGGUCUUGGGUGCCUGAAGAUACUCCCCCUAGCCCUGAUGCCUUGGAAGAGAAGCCCUUCAAGACAAGCUGAUGCCAGGCCCUGGCCAGAGGUGGGGACAGAUGGCAUUUCCUGCUCAGUGUGUGGGCCUGGGCCCCAUUGCUUGGGGGAGUUCCAUGAGUGUUAACAGGAUUCAAAGGAAGAGGUAGGAACUUAGGGGCGAUCCUGUUGGAAAGAUAUCAUUUGGAGAAGUGAGGGGGAGCUUGAAGCAAAGGGGUCUGUGUCCUGAGGAAAGUCUGGUACCCUCUGAUACCUCUUUCCCCAUUGAUGCUGACUGAUCUUGCUUUUGGGCUGAUCUGUCAAGAAGACUGGCAUGUUUCCACUGGAGAUCUGUCCUUUUUUUCUCCCCAGUGCCCCCACUGUUGGUCAGUGGGCAUUGUGAGGAUCAAGGCUACUGGACACUGAGUAGCAACUCAGAAUCCAUCUCGGGGAGGUUCUGAGGGUCAGCCUGGGCAUGGAGAGAGGCAGGUGGCACUUCUUGGUGGGUGUGGUAGCAGAGAAAUCCUAGAAGUUGCAACCGCACCCCUCCUCGUCUGGAGUGACAGGGGAGUGGCCUGAGCCCUGCUCCCCAGCUGUCCAAGGCAAACUGACUGGAGUCCAUCUGGCUGUCCCCACCAGAUCAGGCUCCCUUCCCAUCCUGGAACACCAAAGCUGCUAAGUCUGCAGAAAGCACAGCAGAGGGAUGCCUAGAUCAGGGGUCUACCUAGGCACACCUGGAGCUAAGCUGCAUGGGGGGUGGGGGGUGAGGGUGGGGAGAUGCCCAAGGGCAGCCAAGGGUACCUUCAAUGGCCUUUCUUCCUAGGUUCUAUGUAAUGGUGGCUACACACUUCCCUGAUGACUGUCAUUUAAGGCAUACAUAAUUCUCCUUCCAGAACCUGUCUCUUCAUUGUUAUCAUGGUCAUCUAUUCACAAUAUCCUCUGUCACUUUAGAAUAUAUUGCUUAUAAAAAGACUUGAGAGGUAUCUUGGGUUGCAUAAGCCUCCAAA
rnacentral:lncRNA from 1 species